CCUACGGGUGGCAGCAGUGGGGAAUAUUGGACAAUGGGGGGAACCCUGAUCCAGCGACGCCGCGUGAGUGAAGAAGUAUUUCGGUAUGUAAAGCUCUAUCAGCAGGGAAGCAAGAAAUGACGGUACCUGACUAAGAAGCCCCGGCUAACUACGUGCCAGCAGCCGCGGUAAUACGUAGGGGGCAAGCUUUAGCCGGAUUUACUGGGUGUAAAGGGAGCGUAGAUGGCGAUGAAAGUCUGAAGUGAAAUGCGGGGGCCCAACCUCCGGACUGCUUUGGAAACUGGAUGGCUGGAGUGCAGGAGAGGUAAGUGGAAUGCGUAGUGUAGCGGUGAAAUGCGUAGAUAUUAGGAGGAACGCCAGUGGCGAAGGCAGCUUACUGGACUGUAACUGACGUUGAGGCUCGAAAGCGUGGGGAGCGAACAGGAUUAGAUACCCUUGUAGUC
rnacentral:rRNA from 1 species